GACUAACGCUAACGGUGUGCUUAAUACAUGCAAGUCGAACGAGCAAUGUGAGAGUGGCAACACUCCUGCAAAGCUAGUGGCGAACGGGUGAGUAACGCGUAGGUAAUCUACCUUGAAGAUUAGGAUAACCUUCCGAAAGGAAGGCUAAUACUAAAAUUUUAUAUUUUUCGUAUGAUUAAUAUAACAAAGGUAGCCGCAAGGCCUCCGCUUUAAGAUGAACCUGCGUCCUAUUAGCUUGUUGGUAAGGUAAUGGCUUACCAAGGCUAUGAUGGGUAGCCGGCCUGAGAGGGUGAUCGGCCACACUGGGACUGAGAUACGGCCCAGACUCCUACGGGAGGCAGCAGUAGGGAAUAUUGCGCAAUGGGCGAAAGCCUGACGCAGCGACACCGUGUGAAGGAUGAAGGUCUUCGGAUCGUAAACUUCUGUCAAUCGGGGACGAAGGUAAUAAGGUUAAUAGCCUUUAUUAUUGACGGUACCCAAUAAGGAAGUCUCGGCUAACUCCGUGCCAGCAGCCACGGUAAGACGGAGGAGGCAAGCGUUGUCCGGAAUCAUUGGGCGUAAAGAGCGCGUAGGCGGUUUUUCAAGUCGUAUGUGAAAACUUCAGGCUUAACCUGAUGAUUGCAUAUGAAACUGGAUAACUUGAGUACAGCAGAGGAAAGUGGAAUUCCUGGUGUAGCGGUGAAAUGUGCAGAUAUCAGGAAGAACACCGGUAGCGAAGGCGGCUUUCUGGGCUGUUACUGACGCUGAGGCGCGAAAGCUA
rnacentral:rRNA from 1 species